AACCUCAUCGACCGGAAGGGAUUCCUUCCGAUUGAAGAGGUGGAACAGCCUCAUCAACCGGAAGGAAUCCCUUCCGGACAAUGAGGCC
rnacentral:miRNA from 1 species